GACGAACGCUGGCGGCGUGCUUAACACAUGCAAGUCGAACGGUAAGGCCCUUCGGGGUACACGAGUGGCGAACGGGUGAGUAACACGUGGGUGAUCUGCCCUGCACUUCGGGAUAAGCCUGGGAAACUGGGUCUAAUACCGGAUAGGACCACUGCCUGCAUGGGUGGUGGUGGAAAGCUUUUGCGGUGUGGGAUGGGCCCGCGGCCUAUCAGCUUGUUGGUGGGGUGAUGGCCUACCAAGGCGACGACGGGUAGCCGGCCUGAGAGGGUGACCGGCCACACUGGGACUGAGAUACGGCCCAGACUCCUACGGGAGGCAGCAGUGGGGAAUAUUGCACAAUGGGCGCAAGCCUGAUGCAGCGACGCCGCGUGAGGGAUGACGGCCUUCGGGUUGUAAACCUCCUUCAGCAUCGACGAAGCGCAAGUGACAGUAGGUGCAGAAGAAGGACCGGCCAACUACGUGCCAGCCGCCGCAGUAA
rnacentral:rRNA from 1 species